UCGUGAUGCGGUUUCGUCCGGGCUUUUCGCGAGAGCGGGCCUCCCGAUGACCGUCGAUCUUCGGGGAUUAGACGAAAAGUCGACACCGGAGAGGAUGAUAAUAUGCAAAUUUUGUUGCCGCAGUACUUAAAAUAUAAUAAGCCCAUUUAGUAUAUGGAUACGGUCGAUUCCGCGGACUGUUUAAUUCGGCGAUCGUUGUGCUCCCAACACGAGGCUUUCUUCCAUUAGCAUAAAGAACGCGAGUUGAUCGGCUGUCCUUGAAGCGGCCAUGAACUUGUAUACCGCACGCCAUCAACUACGUUGGGCGGGUUCCCGAGCUCUACUCGGUGGUGCACCAAUUAGCCUUCGUGUUGCCUGCGAACUGGAUCGCCAGGGUACAACAGCCUGACAUGUUUAACUGAGCUGGACGAUCGGCGAUGGCACGUUCACCUCGGACUCUGUUCGUUUCCAUUGCACCGUGUACAGUCUUUACAGAAAUCUGAACUUGACCCUUAGGCUUGUAUUGUGGUUCGUAAUUGCGAUUUAAGUGCGCGCGAUGCAUCAUCCGGAGGAAUUUUGCGGACGGUCAAAUUGUCGGCUUUACGGUUGCAUCGUGAAAUCUUGACGAAGGGAUAUCUUGAUAAUAAUUGUGAAGAGGAGAGCUGCUGCAACCCGUCAAACCGGACCCUGGGGCGUCCGAAAUUGCCCAGUGUAAGCAAAUGAACCCCGAAAUAAGAUUCCAGGGAGCCGAGGGCCAAGGGACCUCGAGCGGUGGAGCCGAUGGAUUCCCAUCUCGAAGCUCGCGGGUUCGUUGACCCUGAGGUCGAUGCAAAAAUUCAUAAUUCGUCUUUUACAAUUCUUCUUUAAUCAGCGAUCUUCGAAUCAACUAUACCAAGAGGUAGUCGAACGAUCGACAUGUGGGGAGAUUUUACGAGCCGAGAGCGAAUGGAUUAUAGGAUACGUAAUAUCAACCGGAUCAUCGAUCGGAAUACGUCGAAAGAAGAGGACAACAAAGCGAGACACGAACGUCUUUUAAAGUCCCGUUCGAACCGGAGUUAAUCCGAUAACUCGAGCAAAUGACAUUACUAUACUGAUGAAUUUUGCAGUAGUAAGGAUCGCGAAUUUAUUAGAACGACUCAAUGCCCACGCGAAAAGACUAAUGUAAGAUAUAAGAUCUACGACAUUCGAGACUCCGUUACGCCAUUAAAACAUGUCAUAAAUCUUUAAUUCUCUUACAUCUUGAAAGCAAAGUCAUCCGUAACUGUCUGACCUUUUGCACACAUGUCAUUUCUUUAUCGAGCCUCCGAUAAUCUUACUGUCUCGAAAAAUAAUAGAUUCCAUUUAAGUGCUAAGCGUCCCUCCCUCCGGAGUCGAUGAGUUGCACGAUUUUCAAUGAUCCCCGUAUGAAUUCGUCGUCGCAGAGGACGUCGAUCGGCUCUUCGAGAUGUUACGCACCUCCGAAACACGCGGACUACAUUAAAACACAUAACAUAACAUAACAUUAUGGUAGGGCCAUCGGCCCCCCCAAGGCCGAUACACCCACCAAGAACGGACGUUGAACACAUGCGUGUCUUCUUUUCUACGUUGCUACUAUACUGCAACACGCACGCACUCCUUCCUUCCACGUUUAUUUUAACAGGUAUUACAUGCCCGCUAUACACACCUUUCUUGAUUAGUCACUCCGAUCGGAGGAUCGAUCGGUAGCGACUUGUACGCCUGUUGCAUUCGAUAUUAACUCCGGAUCGGCAUAAGAAGACUUACAGUCUACAAAAUUUUCUAUGCGUUAAAUUAAUUCCGCGAAUCGAUGUUUGUUUUUCACAUCGCUAUUUAGAUUUGAGCAGAUUCUUCGAAUGGUGUAUUUGUGUCACGAGCAACGGUGUAAGUAACGUUUCAUGUUUGUUCAAUGAUGACUGACGGUGAACUCUUGAGGAUCGGAUAAGAAAAGAUUUCAAUUCUAUCGCGAUAAUUACAUCAGCUCAGUGUGUACCGGUAGCUCGAUAUAUAAUAGCUGGAUACUCUCCUCUCCAAUUAUUCGCAUAACGUAGACAUUAUAAUCGUAGUUUUAUGCUCCUUCUUAGAGACGUGCUGUGGCCAAUAAACAUUUGUAAUCGUCGCAUCGGUGCGAUUCGUAUUCAACUUUAGAGGAAUUGAACGGUCAGUGAAUCCUCAGCUAAUUUUAAGUGCGCACUUUAACACAUGCCCAAAAUUGAAACGGACAAUAUUUUGUCAGCGAAUUCCAACCGGAGAAUCAUUAAAUGAUUUUUCCAAUUCUCGAAUCCCCAUGCUAUUUAAUUAUGUCGGUAAUUAUUUUAAAGCCAUGAGUGAUUCGUCAGAGCCUAUGGUCUUUGGAUGUUCAAAGAUUUGUUCAUCGAAAUAGCCGGAAAUCUCCGCGAUAUCGUUUAAACGAGUGUUUUCUGAUGUAUUUUCACCUGGGAAAGACUUUUCUUAUAUCCGUCAAUUAAAUUGAAUUAUCACGAGGGUUCAUCAAAGUAUUUCAUUAUUGUUAGUACCCUCGGCGAAUCUGACGUUUUCACAAAGUUUCAGCAGCCACAUGUACUCGACAACCGCCACAAGUGCUGAAAUGAUACGAUGCUGCACCGCGCUGUCAAGCAUCUCCUUACCUUCGACAGAAAGUAUGUCCACGGCAGGUUGUUUGCCAUUUAAAAAAAAUUGAUGAUACAUGUAAAACAAAUGAUUAUUAACUUGUAUAACACAUCGUAAGAUUACAAGAAUAACUGAGGCACCGUUGUAACAUUGAGAUAGGUACGUACGUGCAUAACUUGUAAAUCAUAUUGUAACGGUUUUAUUAUGGCAAUAAUUGUUUCGUAAAACAAUAAGUGAAGAUUGUACGUAUAUGUUUUCCAAGUCAAAAACUUAUACAAAAAAAACGCACUUUCAAUAUUUAUUGUCUGAUUAACAUUGAUCAAACUCCUGCACCUCUACACUCAUUCACGUAUCUCAUAAGCAACGCAUCAAGACAUCGGGGUGCAAUAACGGGAAAAUAAUAUACGAUACACAAAUAUGCAUGUAUGCACCUGAUCAAGCACAUCAUGUCUCAGAACACUUACUGACCUGUCGUGUUCUCCUCAUAAUAAAAUCAUUUUCGGCUAAAAUUUGCCUUUGCAUUUUCAGUGCAGGUAUUCUAUGGCUUUAUUAUCACUUCCAGUUUAUGAUGGAGCAUGUUUCAAUCGUGCAUGAUUAGGCCUGAAAUCAACUAGGUAAUAUCUCGAUCAUAGGGCGGAGAAGUAGUAAUAAAUACACAGGAUUUAAUGCAUGCGCACGAUAAGCCGAAUAAUUUUAGUAACAAAAUUUUACAGGCAAAAAAUCUGAAAAAGAAACUAUAAUCGAUCAAAAUUGAAAUGAUGAACGAAUUUUGUUUUCUUGAUAAAUCGCUCUUGACUAUCCAUCAUUCUCAAAACGAGCCGCUUCAAACUUCAGAGUCUCGACCAAAAGUCAAUAGAAAAUAUCACGACUAGGAGCAAUCUCAAAACAGUGAAUUGCGAAUGUGCAAUUCGGUAUUCGGACAUACCGGAGCAUCUCGUACGUAGAUCCUUCUUUUCCGAGGCAACAGCAGUAUGGCCGCAACAGUCGAAGCGACGGGGUCAUCGGGAGCGACAUCGAUGGUAGCGCCUACAAACUUGGACAGGACAAAAAAGGAGAAAGAGAGGGGAGAGAAAGAAAGAGAAAUAUCGGGACGUCCAAGUUGCUUAGUUCUCCGCAAUACCCUUCGACUUCCAAAUUCUAUACCCACGUUGUGCUGAAAAACUCGUAUCAAGGCUUUCAAUUGGUCAUCAUGGUCGCUAAUUCGUCGUAGUACUUAUACAACUUCCAACCACGAAAGGCAGAGGUUACAUGGCAUCGCACAAUUCGUUUACAGGUACUCUGAGAUGCUGUCGCCGCAGUUAUGACCCCCUGGACUUCCCCUGUUCAUCAGGGGGAGUCCAGGGACCCGUCCCCUGGGACUGCGCGGCCUCCCACCGCCCCCGGGGUCCCAGGGGACCCAGUCCCCGAGG